rnacentral:tRNA from 1 species
UGUUUUAUGGUGUAAUGGUUAGCACUCUGGACUUUGAAUCCAGCGACCCGAGUUCAAAUCUCGGUAGGACCU